ensembl:lncRNA
AUGUUCCUAAACAACGAAAUCCCCAAAGGAUGGUAUAUAUGCAGUUUUCAACAUUCUCUGUCUAGAAAGAAUGUGGAUUCUGUCCUAUUGCAGUACUUUUGUGAGUUUUAUAGUUUUGGCUUUAUCAUGUUGGCCAAGGGCCAGUUAAAGAAAUUCAUCACCAAAUGCUUAGUUACACAACCCCUAAGGGUGUGCCUAAUGCUUAGUUUAGGAUGGGUGGUUGCAGUAGAAGAGGCUGUGAGUACUAGCUGUACCUUAUCUCCCUGUGCCUGCCAGCUGCUGAGGUGCUCAAGCCCCAGCCCUGACAGCUGUCCCUCUGCCAUCGUCGGGGUGCUCUGUAAGAGGAGAAGAGGGGAGAAGAAAGAAAGUGCAAGUCCUCUCCUCUCUGCCAGUGUGACGCUGAAGCUGGAGUCAAAAGCACAGACAAGAUAUUCUCCAAAGUCACCACGGAUGAAAUAUUUAUCAACUGGACCACUGUUUUAUGCCAGAAACUAUCCAUGAUCCACACACCGCUUGGAAAGAGAUCAUCAUUUUCCA